ACGACACGGGACUCGAUCUGAGGCCUCGUAAUCGGAAUGAGUACACUCUAAAUCCUUUAACAAAAAUCUAUUGGAGGGCAAGUCUGGUGCCAGCAGCCGCGGUAAUUCCAGCUCCAAUAGCGUAUAUUAAAGUUGUUGCGGUUAAAAAGCUCGUAGUUGGUUCUGCGUCCCGCGCUGUCGGUACACCGUUUGUCGGUGACACUGGCAUGACGCGGGAUGUCCUGUCGGUGGCGGCGGAGACCAUAUCGUCGUCGGAUAACACCGCGGCGUGUUGGCCUUCUGUCGCCGGCUAUAUCCUACCGCGGUGCUCUUCACUGAGUGUCGAGGUAGGCCGACACGUUUACUUUGAACAAAUUAGAGUGCUUAAAGCAGGCAAAAAUCUCUGCCAGAAUAGUGGUGCAUGGAAUAAUGGAACAGGACCUUGGUUCUAUUCUGUUGGUCUCCGGAACACAAGGUAAUGAUCAAUGUGGACAGGCGGGGGCAUUCGUAUUGCGGCGUUAGAGGUGAAAUUCUUGGAUCGUCGCAAGACGCACUAGAGCGAAAGCAAUUGCCAAGUAUGUCUUAAUUGAUCAAGAACGAAAGUUAGAGGUUCGAAGGCGAUCAGAUACCGCCCUAGUUCUAACCAUAAACGAUGCCAGCCAGCGAUCCGCCGAUGUUCCUUUGAUGACUCGGCGGGGAGCUUUCCCCGGGAAACCAAAGCUUUUGGGUUCCGGGGGAAGUAUGGUUGCAAAGCUGAAACUUAAAGGAAUUGACGGAAGGGCACCACCAGAAGUGGAGCCUGCGGCUUAAUUUGACUCAACACGGGAAACCUCACCAGGUCAGGACAUUGGAAUGAUUGACAGAUUGAUAGCUCUUUCUUGAUUCAGUGUGGCC
rnacentral:rRNA from 1 species